AGUGUUGUACUAUGGGCGCAAGCCUGCUCCAGCCAUGCCGCGCGAGUGAAGAAGGNCUNNGGUUUNGNAAGCACUUUCGGUCGNNNNNAAAUCGCGCCGACAAAUACCCUGCGCUGAUGCCGGUCUCUUCACAAGAAAUCCCGCCCUACUAAGUGCAGUGCACCCGGGUAAUACGUAGGUGGCGAGCGUGAAUCGGAAGUACUGGGCGUAAAGCGUGCGCAGGCGGUUGGGAAAGACGGGCGUGAAAUCCCCGGGCUUAACCUGGGAACUGCGAUUGUGACUGGUCAGCUAGAGUACGGGAGAGGGGAGUGGAAUUCCAAGUGUAGCAGUGAAAUGCGUAGAGAUGUGGAGGAACACCGAUGGCGAAGGCAGCCCCCUGGGCCGAUACUGACGCUCAUGCACGAAAGCGUGGGUAGCAAACAGG
rnacentral:rRNA from 1 species